UACGUAGGGGGCAAGCGUUGUCCGGAUUUAUUGGGCGUAAAGCGCGCGUAGGCGGCGCGGUAUGUCGUGCGUGAAAUCUCCCGGCUUAACUGGGAGGGGCCGUGCGAAACUGCCGGGCUUGAGGUCGGAAGGGGAAAGUGGAAUUCCGGGUGUAGUGGUGGAAUACGUAGGUAUCCGGAGGAACACCAGCGGCGAAGGCGGCUUUCUGGUCCGAUACUGACGCUGAGGUGCGAAAGCGUGGGGAGCGAUCCGG
rnacentral:rRNA from 1 species